AAAAAAACCUGAAAAUACAUCUUGUAGAGGCUGAAGCCCUGGAAACUGAAAGGAUUUUCUCAUUCCUUGGGUCCAGCAGCAACAGCAUUUUGAAAUCAGGCUAAACUUCAGAUGCAUCUUGACCAACUGGAAAGGAGGUUUCCAGCUGUUUGCUGCUCUGGAGGGAGUGAAGGAGAAGAUCUAAAGCAAAGAAGAUUCAGAACCAGAAGCAAUUCUGAAAGUCUAUGGCCUUGAUAUCCAUAGACUUCCAUCUCAUGUCGGCAUUCCUGUUAUCAAGACACUCCCUCUGAAGCUAUGGAGUUGCAGAGCUGUUUGCAGGUGGUCCAGCUGACUCUUAUAUGAGGCAAUGACCUUCUCUGCACUGUAACAUACUGGUGCUGGACCCGGCUGUAUGUGAAUUCCUCGCAGACUAGGAGAGUUAGGAGGAGCACUGACUACGUGGUACCCAGCAGCUAGCAAAUUGCAUACCUGCUCUACGUGGGAACCCAGCAGAGCAGGAUGGCCCAGGGCCUCAGCAGAGAGCUUCCUGGGAUCUCGGCCAUAUGGCACACUGCACUGGUUACGCGUGAAGAGGUUCACUUGAGGCUUUCCUAUACAUGUGGUUAACAAGACAGUCUACUUCUUCAGCAGGUUUCAAUUAGUGUGGCUGCUCUGUGGGCGGCACUGGCUCAGUCUGGCAGCUUUGCCAAUGGUCUCAUUGGCUUCUCUUACUUUUGCCUGCAUGACUCUGGGUCUUCAGCUGCUGAUAGAAGAAACGUCUUUUCUGACUGCACUGCAAGGGGCUCUGGAGACACCUGAGCUGUAGGUAGUGUACAGCUGGCACAUCUGAAUGUAAUGCCAGUCAGCGAGCUGGGAGAAAGGACUGCUAUCAUCUUGGGUGUCCACAGGGGAGGAAAGGGUGAGUGCUCUGAAACUCUUCCUAUUCCAGCUGUGUCUUUUCCCCUCCACGGAGCCUGAGCCUCCAGGAGGCUCCUGCCCUGAGCAAAGUGGCUGGGGAUGAGGGUAAAGGGCUGCUGUAAUGGGGAAGUCCAAGGGCUACCAUAGAACCUUCUGCCCCCCCCUCCCCCCAAGAGCCAUGUCCUGCUGCAGCGGGACUUGAGCAGCCAUGAGGAGAGGAGGAACUGAAGGUCUGAUCUGGGUGCUCUGACUCACUACUCAGCUGAGCAGGAAGCAUGAGGGGACUCAACUGGUGUGAUCAGGAAAACAGCAGGAGCUGGGUUUUUGAGAAGGAACUGGAACAGAGAAACCUUUGUGCUUCCUGCAGGCAUGUGGUAGGGAGAAGGGACGGUUUUAGACCUGUUUUAUUGUGGUGAAAAUUGAGAGGGUCGUGCCGCCAUGCUUGGCGCUAGCUGUGUAGGUAGCUGUCGUGGUGGUGGAGGGGAGGUCAGUGUGUGGGGUGACACUUGUUGCUCUUUGUCACACUGCUGGCAUUCUGUGAUAGGUUCCAAAAGCAUUCGGAAAUCCCAAACAGAGUCAGAAAUUAAAAACGGGUGGUGGUUUGUGGUUCAUAUGACAGAAGGCAUAAACCAGCAGGGAAGUGUGUACAGGUGACAUUGAGCCACUGGCUGUAGUUUUAAAUGCUGAAAUAAGCGAUGCUGGUUGUUUCACGAAGCCAAGUUCCUCAUCCAGCUAUUACAGAGCUGACAUUUGGGAAAUCAGAUGCACGUGUAGCCCUUACGGACAGACUCUGCUUUGCAUGAGCUUUGCUGAGAUUUGCACCGCCAGGCAUCUCACUUCUGUUUGUCACUGUGAUUGCCUUCUUGGCAAUGCAUCGUGCCAUUUACUGCCCCUCAUGUCCUUAACUGGAAUUAGCUGCCACCCCCUCUCCCAAUGGCUCAAUCACAGCUCUUCAGCAGCUCAGCUCCUUGUUUCCCUCUGCUGCCAGCCUACUCUGCAAUCACCUUUGCAGUAAGAACGGUUUUGCAUUGGUGUCCCUGUCUCCCUCCCAAAGAGCUGCCUAGCCCUGUCCCCUCAGCCAUGGAAAAACUAUUUUCAAACACAAGAGCAAAGAGGAAGACUUUCAGCAGCUGUAAAGCUCUACUUUUCCUGGGAGGUGCUCUGUCACUGCCAGCUGCCAGGGAUGUCUCAGUGAUUUUUGCUGAUGAUGGGAGAAUUGCAUUUGAACUAAAGAGGCAAAGGGAUUAUCUUUAAGCUAACACACUGAAUGAGUACUGCCCUCAUUUUUGCUGCACUGAGGCCCCUCAUGAUCACAAACAGCUCCUUUCCCCUCUGUAGCACUUGUACAGAGGGGAACUGACCGCAUUUAACAGGCCAACGUAGUCUGAAGUGGGGUUUGCAUGAGAGCUACAAUGCCUAAUCCCAGCCUGGCAAAUAUAUACUGUUUGAUGUGCUUUGGGCAGUCUUUUGCAGGUGAGCAUGGCAAUGAACAGCGAGAGCAUCUGUAAGUAUGUGUGCUACUGCCCUUUGUGUUGAGAUGGUGCCACGAGGCCAGGCAGCUGACCUGCCUCCCGCAGACCAGAGAGUGCUGACACCACACAUGGUGUCCUGGCAAACAUUUGGGUUAGAAAUGUCUGUAUUAGCUGGCCAUGUGGAAGGGAGAUGUAUUGCUGCUGUGCAACUGAGGGCAAAGAGACAGCCCCCAGCACUCAUGCAGCUCAGGAUCUGCCUGCAGCACAGCUCAGCACUGUGCUGUCAGGGGGCAGAGCUGAAGGCCCUGUCAGCCUCACGGCAACACAGGCAGCUCAACCCCAAGUGGAGCAGGUGGGACAGAAGGUCCCCACCGCAGCCAUCGAUGUGCCCAACCAAACCCUACUUCCCUGUGCCAGACACUCAAUGUCAAAUCUCUCUUCGAGAGACCGCAGCAGAAAAUCUGAGAAGCAGGAAAGCAUCAUCUGUGCCAGCUGCAGGAGGAUUAGGAGACCUGCCCAGUGUGUGAGUGAAGCCAAUAGCAGAGUGAGAAGCAAAUGCAUGAUGAGUGACUCAGGCUCCAGGCUGGCCCAGCCCAAGGGGUGUGAACCUGCAUCACCUCUUGAGCAGCUCCAUCCCACCCAGGGACCUCUCGCCAUCGUCCCAUCAGGACUGAUGUGCUGCCAGAAACCAGAAAUAGUAUCCUGAAGAAGAAAAAAAAAAAGUGUGGGGGGAGGGGGACGUUUGUGCUGUAUCAAUGUGUUCUGGUUUGGGUUUUUCAAAACAAAAUGCUUCUGGCCUUUGCUUGGAAAAGGAUUUUCAGCUGUAUUUGUGUGCAAAAGCGCUGAUUAUGUGUUACAAUGGAAGGAGUCGAAAUCAAAAGGAAAGGAAAUAGAACGCUGAGAGACAACGGCCUGGAGAAAAACCAACCCCAGACAGCUGGGAAAUCCCAGCUCUUUGUCUGCAGAUAGAUCUGAAAAGACCAAGGGGUUUUUCCUUUGAUUCUCAGGUUUGCCCUGAAUCCAAAUGAAAGCUAAUACUGGUAUAGCUGACUUCUGCGAAGAGAAAACAUCCAUUUUUGAUUCUCUUUCCAUAUUCCCCCCCCCCCAUGCUCUGCCUGCACAUGAUGCAGCCAAACAGGAAUUGGAGAGAGACGAAGAAAAUUUUCAUAAACACAGAAAAUAAAUUGCACACAAACAUCAAA
rnacentral:lncRNA from 1 species